GAUGAACGCUGGCGGCGUGCCUAAUACAUGCAAGUCGAGCGAAUGGAUUAAGAGCUUGCUCUUAUGAAGUUAGCGGCGGACGGGUGAGUAACACGUGGGUAACCUGCCCAUAAGACUGGGAUAACUCCGGGAAACCGGGGCUAAUACCGGAUAACAUUUUGAACCGCAUGGUUCGAAAUUGAAAGGCGGCUUCGGCUGUCACUUAUGGAUGGACCCGCGUCGCAUUAGCUAGUUGGUGAGGUAACGGCUCACCAAGGCAACGAUGCGUAGCCGACCUGUGAGGGGAGUCGGCCACACUGGGACGUAGACACGGCCCAGACUCCUACGGGAGGCAGCAGUAGGGAAUCUUCCGCAAUGGACGAAAGUCUGACGGAGCAACGCCGCGUGAGUGAUGAAGGCUUUCGGGUCGUAAAACUCUGUUGUUAGGGAAGAACAAGUGCUAGUUGAAUAAGCUGGCACCUUGACGGUACCUAACCAGAAAGCCACGGCUAACUACGUGCCAGCCGCCGCAGUAA
rnacentral:rRNA from 1 species